AUGGGUGCCGCGCGUCCACGGCGCUGGAGGUUCCCCUUCCAACGCAGCGCGCCCUCCUCCCCCUCCUCCAAGUCCCUCCCGCCGGCCCCCUACUCGCCCGCGCGCUCCGCGGCGGCAGCGUACCCGGAGCCGGAGAGGAGGUGGGCACAGCAGGAGGAGGAGGCCGCGCCGCCGGAGUUCGUGUGCCCGCUCUCGGGCGCGCUCAUGGCUGACCCGGCCAUCCUGCCCUCCGGCCAGACGUACGAGCGCGCCUGCCUCCAGGCCUGCGCGGAGCUCUCCUUCUUGCCCCCCGGCGCGGGCUCGGGUUCUGAUGCCAUGAUACCAAACUCCGCGCUCAAGGCCGCCAUCGGCUCCUGGUGCGCCCGCUCCGGCCGCGCGUCGCCAAGGCCGCCGUCCAAAGAAGCUGUUCGGGAGGCCGUGCUCCGCGCUAUGCCUCCGGCCGCGGCUGCAGCGGCCGAGGCCAAGUCUGUUAGGACCAGGAGGGCGGCUAUGGCGAGCUCGUCCAACUCAUCCUACUCGUCCCCGGCGUCCGCCGCGUCGACGUCCACGUACACGUCGUCCUCGGAGAUCACACCCCCGGAGGAGGAUGCGGCUGCGAAGCCAGUCAAGGAGGCGGCCAAGGAAGUGGAGUUGCCGGUUGACCCGUUGGAGGAUGAGGUGGUGGCGACGGUGAUGGACGCGGACGAAGAUGGAGAGGUGGCGGCCGCGUUGGCCGUCCUCCGGGACGCCACCCGGGAGAGCGCCGAGCGUCGCCUCGCGCUCUGCACGCCGCGGCUGCUCGCGGCGCUCCGGCGUGUGCUGCUAAUCCCGCGGCACGCCUCCGCGCGAAUCGACGCGACGGCGGCGCUGGUCAACCUCUCCCUUGAGCCGGCGAACAAGGUACGCAUCGUGCGCGCGGGCGCCGUGCCGGCGCUCGUCGAGGUGCUCCGCUCGGGCGGCUCGGCGCCGGAGGCGCGCGAGCACGCGGCCGGCGCGCUCUUCGGCCUCGCGCUCAACGAGGAGAACCGCGCUGCCAUCGGCGUGCUGGGCGCGGUGCCGCCCCUCCUGGACCUCCUCACCUCCCCCGCCCACCACCCGCGCGCGCGCCGCGACGCCGGGAUGGCGAUCUACCACCUCUCGCUCGCCGCCGUCAACCAGUCCAAGGUCGCCCGUUUCCCGGGGGCCUCCAAGGCGCUCCUCAGCGUCGCGUCCAGCGCCGCGGAGCCAACGCCCAUCCGCAGGCUGGCUCUCAUGGUGAUCUGCAACGUGGGCGCCUGCUCGGAGGGCCGCGCGUCGCUGAUGGACGCGGGCGCCGUCGCGGCAGUGUCCGGCAUCCUCCUCUGCCCCCACGACGACUCCACCCGCGUCACGCUCGCGGAGCUGGAGGAGUGGUGCGUGGCGGCGAUCUACGCGCUGAGCCGCGGCAGCCUCCGGUUCCGCGGCCUGGCGCGCGCGGCGGGCGCGGACAGGGCGCUCCGCCGCGUGGCCGAGGAGGGGACCCCGGGGGGCGUCCGGCGCGAGAUGGCGAGGAAGACGCUCCGCGCCAUGCGGGGCGACCUGGACGAGGAGGCGGACCUGACCAGCAGCAGCCUGGAGUGCGGGGACGGCGAGGACUGCGGCGGGAGCAUCGUGUCGGACGGGCUCAUGUCGUUCCGGCGGCGGCAGCGCGAGGUCGGGGCGUCGUCGUGCGGCAACACCGCCGAGUUCUGA
rnacentral:rRNA from 1 species